AAUCCGAAAGGGCAAACCUGGGGAAACCCAGUGGCGCAAAACUAGAGGGGCUUCGGCUAAAAAGCCAUGCCAGCCAGUUACCGAA
rnacentral:ncRNA from 2 species